rnacentral:rRNA from 1 species
CCUACGGGCGGCAGCAGUGAGGAAUAUUGGUCAAUGGACGCAAGUCUGAACCAGCCAUGCCGCGUGCAGGAAGACGGCUCUAUGAGUUGUAAACCGCUUUUGCACGGGGAUAACACCCUCCACUUGUGGAGGUCUGCAGGUACCGUGCGAAUAAGGGCCGGCUAAUUCCGUGCCAGCAGCCGCGGUAAUACGGAAGGCCCGAGCGUUAUCCGGAUUCAUUGGGCUUAAAGGGAGCGUAGGCGGGCGUUCAAGUCAGCUGUAAAAUCGCGCGGCUCAACCGCGCCCCGCAGUUGAAACUGGGCGCCUUGAGUUCACGACAGGCAGGCGGAAUUCGUGGUGUAGCGGUGAAAUGCAUAGAUAUCACGAGGAACCCCGAUUGCGAAGGCAGCCUGCCGGGGUGCGACUGACGCUGAGGCUCGAAGGUGCGGGUAUCAAACAGGAUUAGAUACCCCUGUAGUC